rnacentral:tRNA from 3 species
GCGCCCAUAGUUUAACGGAUAAAACAUCAGGUUGCGGACCUGAAAACUGGAGGUUCGAUUCCUCCUAGGCGCACCA